AACGAACGCUGGCGGCAGGCCUAACACAUGCAAGUCGAGCGCCCUUUCGGGGGCGCGGCGGACGGGUGAGUAACGCGUGGGAAUAUGCCCUUCUCUACGGAAUAGCCUCGGGAAACUGAGAGUAAUACCGUAUACGCCCUGUGGGGGAAAGAUUUAUCGGGGAUGGAUUGGCCCGCGUUGGAUUAGGUAGUUGGUAGGGUAAUGGCCUACCAAGGCGACGAUCCAUAGCUGGUUUGAGAGGAUGAUCAGCCACACUGGGACUGAGACACGGCCCAGACUCCUACGGGAGGCAGCAGUGGGGAAUCUUAGACAAUGGGCGCAAGCCUGAUCUAGCCAUGCCGCGUGAGUGAUGAAGGCCUUAGGGUUGUAAAGCUCUUUCAGCUGGGAAGAUAAUGACGGUACCAGCAGAAGAAGCUCCGGCUAACUCCGUG
rnacentral:rRNA from 1 species